CCGGCACGAUGGAGUAACCGCACGUAAAAACAUUUCCAAUGGGCUACCCCUAAGUUAUCCCAAAUUUUCUAUUUAGGACAAAUGGACAUCUUGGCCCAAAAAUCAACUCACAUUGGGCUACCAAAACAGACAAAAAAAAUACUCAAGUUGCCCAUGUUUGGGAGAGAAAUGAGGUGUCCGAUUUGUCCUCCGUCGCCCACGUACCUUUUUCCCUUCCUCCUCCCGAAUCGGUCGAUCCACUCCUCCCCACGCCUCAUUCUUUUUCCCACAACCUGCCCCGCCAUGGAGGAGAAGCGGAGACCGAGUCACCUCCCUACGCCCUAGCCGCCAUGGACGGCGCGCCGAGAAGCUUCGGAUCAGCUGCUGUCCACGUCGGAGUCGCCCGUCGCCUCCCCGCGUCCUAGCCGCCAUGGACGGCGCGUCGAGAAGCUCCAGACCUGCCGCUGUACACGCCGGCGCCGCAUGUGGCCUCCCCGCGUCCUAGCCGCCAUGGACGGCGCGCUUAGAAGCUCCAGAUCUGCCGCUUUCCAGGAAGGCGCCUCUCAUCGCCUCCCAGCGCCCUAGCCGCCAUGGACGGCGUGCCGAGACGCUCUGCGCCUGCUGUUGUCCAAACCGGCGCCGUCCGUCGCCUCCCGUCGCGACCGCAAUGUGGACGAGCGCGAGCUGCAGGGCGUUGCAUCCUUGCAAUCAGAAUUGUGAACAUGUAUUUGAAUCUUUUUUUUGCGCUGUACAUGUAUUUGGAUCUGAACCGUGGCUGCGAGUAGCUGCUUGCCGCAUCCUUGCAAUGUUCUUGAUUUCGUCAGUGGACAUGUAUUUGGAUCUGAUCCUUCCCCUCAUUUGUGAUGGAGGAUGCUGAGGACUGAACAUGGAUUUGCUGCAUUUGAGGUGGAAUCAAUCCAUGGCGGACGAUGGUCUGGUUGGCCAAGAACAGAGAGAAGCAACGUCUGGAAGAAGGAACGAGGAAGAAAGGAGAAGGGUCAGAUGGGGCCCAGCGGUCAGAGAGUCAGAAAAGAAAAAAGAAGAAAAAUAAAAUAUUCGGGGGAGAAAUUUGGGGGACGCCUUGGGGUGACCAUGGAUGACACUAACCGAACACAUGUCCAUUAGCCCCAAACAAACAAAAAAAGAGACAUCUGGGAACAAAAUUUGGGAAUCCUAUUGGAGACGCUCCAAGGAUUCAAAAAAAGAGCUCCGUGCGCAAUCACAGCAACCAAAUCAAUCAUCAAUCAAUUAAUUAAUUUAUUAAUCUUACCUAAUUUUAAUCGUGACUUUCAUCUCCCCGCCCUCGCGCCCG
rnacentral:lncRNA from 1 species